GACUAGCGCAGCCCCCUAAACAUGCAUCCGCGCCUGCGCAGCCGCGGGUCGCCCAGGGUUGGGAUGUUGGUGUCGGCUGGGGGCUGCUGUGAGGCGCUUGGUAGCACCCAGUCCUGAUACUCUCCAGUUACCCGGUAGGCGGGGCUCGGACACAAAGAAAAGUAGAGUCGGGGUUUCACCAAGUUGGUCAAGAUGGUCUCAAACUUCUCACCUCGUGAUCCGCCCGCCUCGGCCUCCCAAAGUGCCGGGAUUACAGGCGUGAGCCACCGCGCCCGGCCGUCUCCGAUCUUUACACGCAUUCUUCGUGUUAUCUGAAGACACUCUGACGCCACCACCCAAAGCAACUGGCAGUUGACUUGGCAAUUUUAAGCUUGUGUGGAAAGCAGCCGCCGCCCGGUAGCUCCUUUUUAUCUAGAGACACUCAGGAUGUGGGGGACACCCCAGCAAUGCCAUCCCUCCUUUGACCUCCAGAGCGCGCAGAAUUACAAAAGAUCUUUGGGGGCUUGGAUGGAGGAACAGGAAAAGAGGAGCCAGGCGUUUUUGGAAAAUUGGCGGCAGCGGUGGCAUACGGGAAACUGAAAUCUUUAUCUAAUCUCAUCCUUUGUGUAUUCAUCUUGGAUUUGCUGAAGAAAAUUAAAAGGCCAGGCCUACCACUCCUAUGGCACAGUAUUGAUGAGAGACAUCAGUGGAGCUCCCCACCUCCACCCCAGGCUUGGAACUUAGGGAAUGACUGGUUUUUGUCAUUUCACACAACAGCUGAAGGAUUCUGUCCCCACCUCGUCCUCUGUGAAGUCUGCUGGACGUACCUGCCAGAAUCUUCUGAAGAUGACGUUUGCUGAACACUGACCCACAGGGGUUUGAUGGAUUAUUGACAAUGAGACAAGCUGUCUUUUCAUCAAUUAGAGAUUCCAGUUGUUUCAGGUCAAUUUCCCAAGAUUUCUCUGGC